UUUUCUUUUUUUAAAAGAUAUCGAAUAUGAAAUAACACAAUCUUAUUGGUUAGUGAACCUAAAGGUUCACCCUAGGGUGUGAAGCCAAUAAUAAGUCUUCUUCCUACUGGGACCUGAAGAUCUAACAAAGUAAUUUCUCUUUAAUUUUUAUUUCUUUGUUCUAUUUUUGUCUUUUACAAAACAUGAACCUUUUUCUUUUUUAUAUGGUUCAAUGAUUGAACGGUUGGUGUAAAUUUAAUUUGGAUCAUGAAACUUAAGUUAAUGUCUCUUGUAAAUAUUAGUUCAAUUACUUAUUAUCAAGACUUUGUAUUUUGAUUUGUGUGUGGUUUACUUAAGACACUCUUACUUUUUCAGAAGUUUAUUUUGUUUGAUGAUUUACAUUAUAUAUAUAUAUAUAUAUAUGAAUAUAUACACAAAUAUAUAUAUGCCUCCAACACAUACCUAUUUCCUUUUUUUUUUUGAAAAAAUCGCUUCUACGCUUCCGCUUCCACGUAUCCGCUUUUGAUUCCAUGUAAUAUUAUAUCUAGACUAGCGUUGUAUAAUAAUCACAAUAACCAUUAAUUAUUUAAAUAAUAAAAAUUAGUAAGAAAACAUUUUUUUUUAAUAUUCAUGGGUAAUCGCAUCAAUACUGUAAAAUCAUAUCAAAUUAUGAACAUGGAAGGAAAUGAAUAGAGAAAAACCAUUUAAUGUUGUUGAAAGACCAAACGCAGAGUUUAGUAAAAUCUUCCCAAACUAAAAAUAUGCAUAUGAAAGUACAGUAGAACCUCUAUAAAUUAAUAAUAUUGGAACUUUAAAAUUUUAUUAAUUUAUAGAGAUAUUAAUUUACAAAAGUUUCAUUUUUUAGUUUUUUUUUGUAUUUUUAAAUAUUUUUAUUAAUAAAAUAAGAAAAUAUUUGAUUUUACCGUAUAUAAAUUAUUUAAAUUUUAGAAAAUUGACUUCAUAUUAUUUUAUUAUCUUAUUUGGUGUAUAUUGUUAUGUUUCAUAGAAUUGUUAUGUGGUUUUCGAUAUAAUUUUACUAAAUAUUUUUUAAAAAUAUAUUAAAAUAUUAAGAAAAAAAAUAUUUUGAUUGUGAAUAUAAAACUAACAAUCUAAUUUUUAGUUAAUAUAUAUAAAGAUAUAUUUUUAAUUUAUGAUUUUAAUGGGACUAUAUAUUUACAUGGGAGUUUUAAAAAUAUUAUUAUCUUAUUAUUUUAUCGAUUUGUGUCAUAUUUUACACUGAUCCAAGUUGGAACCGAUAAAAUUUAUUAAUUUUUAGAGAUUAUUAAUUUAUCGAGUAUUAAUUUAUAAAUAUUUUACUGUAUUAUAAAUAGACGUCGAUUUCCUCAAAAAUUAUAAAACAAUCAUAAGAGAAAAUAGAAAAGAUAGGACACAGUUUGAUUUUGUAGCCUUGUAGGAUCUAAAGAAUGGCAAAAUGAAAUGCGCUAGUAUUAUUGAUGAUGAUUGUGGUGAAUGUUAUGGUGGUCAUCGUAUGCCAAAGCAAACAAGUAUUGGAUUCAAUGUUUCCGAAAAUGUUCUAAACAUUGUGCAGUCACGAUGGUAAUUGUUUUGAACGUUGCAAAGUCAAAUGUGGUGGCUCAAACCCUCCUCAUGGUCCAGGAGGACCCUCCCCCUAGUUUUACACGGUACAAAUUUUUCUAUUCCUUUGGUCUAUAAUUCUAGUUUUAUUUUGUUGUUGUUUCACAUUGGCUGGCAUCUGUGUAAGUUCACAGAAAGAAUUAAUGAUAAUAAAAGAUUUGACUGAAGAUUUGUGAUCAUUUAUAGCAUUUUAACCUUCUUUUAAAAUUAAAUAAAAAUACUAAUAAAAUAAAUAUUUGUAAUCUCUGUUUAUACAUGUGUUAUAAGUCCCAAAGGUUUUAAAAUAUAUUAAAAUUCAGGAAAUGAAACAAUAAUACAAAACUAGUAAUUUAUACUAUGUAAAUAAUCCUAGUAAAGAUGACACCUUAAAAAUAAGAUGAGUUGGCAAAUGUUGGUUGAUCUGAUCCAACAUGUAGAUAUGGUCUUUCAUAAAAGCAAGGAAAUAAAUCCAUUUUAUUGUUGAACAUUUAAUACUGUAAAAGCAUAUCAAAAAUUGAACGCAUAAGGAAUUGAAUAAAGAAAAAAAAUUAAUGUUGUGGAAAGACCAAAAAAACCUCGACAAAAAUCUACUCAAACUUAGAAUGAUGCAUGCAGAAGUAUUAUAAAUAGAGGUUAAUUUCUUGAGAAUUUAUAUGACAAUCAAAACAUAAAAAUAAGAGAGAGAAAAUAGAACAAAGUUUAUAUUUAGGAUCUAAAAAUGGCAAAAUGGAGUGCGGUGGUAGUAGUGAUAAUGAUGUUGGUGACUGUUAUGGUGGUCACCGUAGAAUCAAACAAAGCAACCGGUUGGAUGCGUUGUUUCCGCAGAUGUUCUGUACCUUGUGAAGAUCAGGAUGGUAACUGUUUUGAAUGUUGUAAAAUCAAAUGUGGUGGUCCAAACCCUCCUCAUGGUCCAGGAGGACCGCCUUCUCAUAGUUUCCGACGAACUUCAUAUGGGAUGGCAUAUGUGGACGUUUGCAAAAAGAAAGAAUGAUAAGGGAUGUUUUCCGGAAGAAUUGUGAUCAUUUUAUUAUUUUUUACUAUAAUAUAAAAAAAUUAAUUAGGAGAAUUCUACUUUAUCUCAUAUUUGAUACUCAUUUUCAAAUUUAA